AUGAAGCCGGAAUUGCUAGUAAUGGCAGGUCAGCAUACUGCCGUGAAUACGUUCCCGGGCCCUUGUACACACCGCCCGUCACACCAUGAGAGUUGGGGAUACCCGAAGCCUGUGAGCCAACAGUUUACUGAGGCAGCAGUCGAAGGUAGAAUCAAUGAUUGGGGUGAAGUCGUAACAAGGUAUC
rnacentral:rRNA from 1 species